AGGACGUUGAUAGGUUGGGUGUGGAAGAGUGGUAACACUUGAAGCUAACCAAUACUAAUUGCUCGUGAGGCUUGACUCU
rnacentral:rRNA from 1 species